rnacentral:rRNA from 1 species
UGCCAGCCGCCGCGGUAAUACGAAGGGGGCUAGCGUUGUUCGGAAUCACUGGGCGUAAAGCGUAUGUAGGCUGUACUGUAAGUUAUUUGUUAAAUCCUAAAGCUCAACUUUAGAAUAGCCUAUAAUACUACUUUACUAGAGUUUUAUUCAGAAGAGUAGAAUUCCAUGUUUAGGGAUAAGCCCCGUAGAUAUAUGGAGGAACACCUGUGGCGAAGGCGACUCUUUAGUAAAAACUGACGUUGAGGGACGAAAGUGUAGGGAGCAAACAGGAUUAGAUA